UCUAUUCUCGGUUUUAGGUGCUUUUAACUUAUUCUUAGAGUACUACCGAAAUAAUUCAUUUUUGAGUUAUUUGAAAGUUAUUAUCUUCGAUGAUUUAUUUUGUUUACUCUUUUCGUAUGAAAGUACCCAAAAUGAAGAGUUUAAACCAGACUCUAUUUUGGAUGAAAAAAUUAAACGGCUCCAUUAGUUAAGUUCAGUUAGAGAUGUUGUUGAAUUAUUUCGCUGUAUUGUGUACGAGUGUUAUUGCAUGGGAAUAAACUGCACCAUCUUCUGACGACUUGGAAAUGCCAUAGGAAAAUAGAACGGAUUCGAAAUCUGAAAAACUUCAAAUUCACAGGACAACCUUCAUAUAACAGCUGCGCCAAAUGAGCAGGAGGAAUCGCUGGACUAAUCACAGAUUCAUCGCCGGAACGGAGACUGGGAACCGGGAUGCGGAUGGCAU